rnacentral:lncRNA from 1 species
AAUGGUUCUGUUGAACAUGCAAUUCUCACGAUUUUAUUUUUCGGUGCUGAGGUGCUUUGCUGGAGGAGCUGCCAGGAGGAGCUGCGCGGGGCAGGCCCGGGGGACCAGAGGCCCUUGCUUUAGCGGCGGCCCUGCGUGUGCCAGAGGCUUGCAGAGUGAUCUGAGCACGCCAAGAGAUUGCUGUCAAUGAAAGCACCAGAUUUCCGCGUAGGAGGAACUCGGGGGCAACGAUGCAAUUGGAAGGCACUGGAAGAACUGCACCGAAAAUGACGAUGUCUUCUCAUGCAUAUGAAUUAUCCAAAGUGUAGGAAGAUGAGCCCCCACUGGAGUACGCUGAAGCCUUUAACCCAAGUACAUUUAAUGCUGCGAAGCCCUGAGUGAGGCAAAGGUGUCUUUUUAUUUUAGAAGACAUUUAGGACAGUUCAUGUCACUCUGCACAGAUGCACUGAAAUCGAUUGUGGGGCAAACUAUAAAGAGAGCUUAUGCUCCCCAAAUCUGUUUCCGAGCCAGCAUUCAGGAAGCCCUGGGGCCAAAGCAAACAGCAUGCUUGAGGCAAGGUGCUGUGAGGCCCAAAUGAGCUGAAGCUUGCACAAAACUGCUCACCACUGCCAUAGCUGAAUCAGCGGAGGCCAGGAGGAUGCGAGGCGGUGCCCGCCCGCGAUUGUCUGAUCAUCUCCCUCUUGGACUGCUCAGACUCAGGCAUGCCCUGCAUCAAAUCCAACCUGUCACCAGGUCUUCAAGGGGGAGGCCUGCGGAAAUCCUACUGUGAAUGAAACUACAGUUGCUAUUCAUCGUCUCCCUCCUGCACCUACCACUCCAGAUGUCCCUCACUCUUGGCCAGCACUUUGGCUUGUUUAAGUUGUGUGCCAGGUGAGGUGACCACACCUUCCCCCCUGCAGUUUCUGAGUCUUUCCUGAGCUUUGUCUUGGUUGGCCCUUGGCUGCUGUGACUGCCUAUUUUAUCUAAUUGCAGGUUCAAGAUUCACCAAGAAGGCAGGGCGCAGUGGCUCACAUCUGUAAUCCCAGCACUUUGGGAGGCUGAAGCAGGCAGAUCACUUCAGCCCAGGAGUUUGAGACCAGCCUGGGCAACAGAGCAAGACCCCAUCUCUAAAGAAAAAUAAUUAUUCAGGUGUGGUGGCACAUGCCUGUAGUCCCAGCUACUCAGGAGGCGGAGGUGGGAGGAUCGCUUGAGCCCAGGAGGUUGAGGCUGCAGUGAGCCAUGAUUGCACCAUUGCACUCUAGCUGGGCAACAGAGCAAAACCCUGUCUCCAAAAAUAAUAAGUAAAUAAAUAAAUAAGAUACUAAGAGACAUCCCAGUGACUCUCCUGAGUCCCAAACAUACUCAUCCAUCCCUCAUGGAGAAACAACUCUAUCUCCUUG